rnacentral:rRNA from 1 species
AAACUGGAUCUCUUGGUUCCGGCAUCGAUGAAGAACGCAGCGAAAUGCGAUAACUAAUGUGAAUUGCACAAUUCAGUGAAUCAUCGAGUCUUUGAACGCACAUUGCGCCCCCUGGUAUUCCGGGGGGCAUGCCUGUCCGAGCGUCAUU